rnacentral:lncRNA from 1 species
GACAAACAGCUGGCUUUUUGAGUGCUGGUGGUCCCAACUCAGGCCUGUAAGCCAUCUUCACAGCUCUGGAAGCUGGAUCUUCGUGCAGUUGUGCAAGGCUGAGAAAAACCAGCUGUUUCUGGUGCUAUGGAAACACUGAUGGGGAAGCCAGUCCUCGAGCCUGACUGAACAGCCCCGAGGAGCAGAGAGGUGUGCACAGGCCAAGCUAAACACCGGGCUCCAGGAGUUCCACAGAUGUAGAUCCAGGAAGUGUGUUCUAGCCGAGGGGCUCUUUCUACCAUAGAGGAGGGUGGAGAGGAACGGUGUAGCAUGAACAGUAAACCUGGGUACCGAAGGAAGAGGAGAGCAUACAGAAGUGUUCCUAGCAUCCACAUCCAGCAGCUCACAACCGCCUAUAACUGGUGGUGCCGUUCAGAUAGCGGUGCGGCUACAGCUCAGCUUUAUGUGGCCAUAUUUAUGUAUCAGUAGGUAGUAAUGAGUAA